rnacentral:lncRNA from 1 species
GACCCACAAGGCAUGAGUCGACUCAUGAGUCGACCCCUGCUAAUUUGAGCCAAGAAUUACCAGAAACGCAUUCUCUGAUUUUUGCAACAGAGGUCGACUCAUGAGUCGACCCCUGAAGCAUGAGUCGACUCAUGAGUCGACCCCUGCGACGGGAAAAGUCAGCAAUGGCUAUUUUUUUGCCCGUUUUAAUUGCCAUUUAUGCUUCCUAAAAAUUCUCUAACGGCUCUUUAUCUACCUAAAUUAUUUUCUCUUGCUUCUAAUGCUACAAAAUGCUUAAAAUGAUGAAAGAAAUUGCAGAUUAAAUAGCGGAUCAAACGUGAAAUCAAAUGUGAAGAGAAAAAGAAGAAAAGAGAAGAACAGAAGAGAGGAUCCAAAAUUUGCAAGAAAAAG